CACGUAGGGGGCAAGCGUUGUCCGGAUUUAUUGGGCGUAAAGAGCGCGCAGGCGGUCGUUCAAGUCGAGUGUGAAAGCCCCCGGCUCAACUGGGGAGGGUCACUCGAUACUGAUCGACUCGAAGGCAGGAGAGGGAAGUGGAAUUCCCGGUGUAGCGGUGAAAUGCGCAGAUAUCGGGAGGAACACCAGUAGCGAAGGCGGCUCGCUGGGCCACACCUGACGCUGAGACGCGAAAGCUAGGGGAGCGAACAGG
rnacentral:rRNA from 1 species